UUUCCGUAGGUGAACCUGCGGAAGGAUCAUUAUUGUAUAACCGAGGUGCGAGGGCUGUCGCUGACCCGACAGGUCCUGCACGCCCGAGUGCCCUCACACACAUCCAUCUCACCCCUAUGUGCACCACCGCGUGGGUCCCCCUUUGGCUUGUUCGGAGGGGGGCUUACGUUUUCACACAAACUUUGUAUGCAGUGUAGAAUGUAUUUUUUGUUUUUGCGAUCACGCAAUCAAUACAACUUUCAACAACGGAUCUCUUGGCUCUC
rnacentral:misc_RNA from 1 species